GGAAACAAAACACAUAAUGUGACAACAGCUCUGUGAUGGGUUACAGUUGGAGCAAUGGAGCACAUGCUUUGAACAGCGUUUCCCUUGGUAGAGCAUUGGGAUAAAAGCACAGGUGAUGAUACAUGUGUUGUGAUGAUUACUCAUGCCCAACGCUGCUGUGAGAUCACAUAACAUCACAUUCUAUCCAGGACAUCAGGUUACUCACACGUGCUUGGUCAUGUUACUCAAACAGAUUACUGCUUCCUAAACAGUUCUAUGACAGUCACUUCAGAGGCACACAAAUCUUAACUUUCAACUUAAUCUUAAUUGGACAUUUUUAGGCUAGCAUUAAAAUGACAGCAACAUUUUAUCAAUAUAUUGGUAACAUAUUUGAAUAUUAUAAUUGUUUUAACUAUAUUUACUUUUAUAAAACGGUUAGUUCCUGUCCUUGAUUCUGAUUGGUCAAUAGCUGUGUUUUAUUCACGAUAAAUCACGGCUAUGACCGCUUCACCCAACGGUUCUGUGUAUCACUACACAACACCACCUUAGCAACCACUCUUAGCAACGUAAACGGUUUGUUUUCAAUUUAUAUUGUUCAUUGAAGCUUACUGUAUUAUGUAGAAGAGUAUUGUGAGAAAGAGAUCGAUUGAGCGAGUUUAUUACCUGCAUUCAGAUUUAGCAUUUUCCUUCAGGACAGUCCUAUGUUCAUAAUAAAAAUCCGUUUGAAUGUCCGCUGCGAUAUUGUCCUUUUAACAUUUAAUGGUUUUCCCGUGCCCUGCGGACACUGACAGCGCUAUUCGAAGCAUUUUUCAUUUGCAUCUUGUUCCGUGUUCACAAGUUUCAACACAAGUCUUUGCGACUGCCUGACUCGCUCAUAAAAACAAUCUUUGCCGCCAUCUAAAGGCGUAAUAAUGUAACUUCUGUAGCUGUUCACGGUCAGGGACUAUUUUUUCCAGCGGAAGGAAGCCUUUUAAUUAUUUUACUUCAUGAAAGUUGCAUUGAUACAUAUUUCUUGGCUUUAAUAUUUGUAUUGUGUGGUAACCGUUUUAUAAAAGCAAUAAGCCCCAUGAAGCCAUGGUUUACAGUGAAUUUAUAACAGCUAAGGGGGUUUUAGGCACGACACGGAGCCCCUUAGCUGUUAUAAAUUCACUGUAAACCACAGCUUCUUGGGGCUUAUUGCUUUAGUUUAUGGUGUCUUUAUGAACUUUUGAAGCAUCAAAUUAUUGGUUGUGUGGACUUUCAAUGGAGGGACAGAAAUCUCUCAGGUUUCAUAAAAAACAACUUCGAAGAUGAAAGAAAGAAAGCCUGGGUUUGAAAUGAUGACAAUUACUUUCCCUUUAAGUAAAUUCCAAUUUAGGUAGAAAUAAAAAGAGAAGUCAAUA